rnacentral:rRNA from 1 species
CUGAUCCAGUCCAUGCCGCGUGAGUGAAGAAGGCCUUCGGGUUGUAAAGCUCUUUUAGCUCGGAAAGAAAAAGUCGCAAUGAAUAAUAUAGUAGUCUUAUGACGGUUCCGACAGAAAAAGCACCGGUAACUACGUG